AGAUUUUAGGAUUGAUCUUCUUUUAGUGAGUUUGAUCUUCUUUAUUUUUUUUUUGUGCUUGAUGUCAACUUAAUUUUUAAGAGGUGUGAAAAUUUUGGGUUAAAAUCAAUAGUUCAUUCAUUAGUUAUCAAGAUCUAAAUCUGUUGUAGGAAUUACUUGAAAUUGAUUAGAGUUUGAAUAGGAUUUAGUUAGGAUUUAGAAUUUGGUUAAAAAUUUGAUUUGGUUUGGUUAAGAUUUGGUUAGGAUUUGGUUAGGGUUUAAGAUUUGAUUAGGAUUCGGUUUAUGAUUUGAUUAAGAUUCACAUAGAAUUUGACUAUGAUUUAUCUAGUAUUUGUUUGAGAUUUGAUUAAGGCUUAUUUAGGAUUUGUUUAGGAUUUGGUUAGAGUUUAGGAUUUGAUUUGAUUAGAUGUCAACGACAAGAAUUCGAUGAAAAAGAAAUUCAAACAAGUGAACCUUCACUCAUAGAAAAGUAAUA
rnacentral:lncRNA from 1 species